CGAACGGAAAGGCUCCUUGCUUGCAAGGGGUACUCGAGUGGCGAACGGGUGAGUAACACGUGGGUGAUCUGCCUUGCACUUCGGGAUAAGCCUGGGAAACUGGGUCUAAUACCGGAUAGGACCAUGCUUUAGUGUGUGUGGUGGAAAGUUUUUUCGGUGCAAGAUGAGCCCGCGGCCUAUCAGCUUGUUGGUGGGGUAAUGGCCUACCAAGGCGACGACGGGUAGCCGGCCUGAGAGGGUGUACGGCCACAUUGGGACUGAGACACGGCCCAGACUCCUACGGGAGGCAGCAGUGGGGAAUAUUGCACAAUGGGCGCAAGCCUGAUGCAGCGACGCCGCGUGGGGGAUGAAGGCCUUCGGGUUGUAAACUCCUUUCGCUAGGGAAGAAGCCACUUGUGGUGACGGUACCUGGAUAAGAAGCACCGGCUAACUACGUGCCAGCAGCCGCGGUAAUACGUAGGGUGCGAGCGUUGUCCGGAAUUACUGGGCGUAAAGAGCUCGUAGGUGGUUUGUCGCGUCGUCUGUGAAAUCCCGGGGCUUAACUUCGGGCGUGCAGGCGAUACGGGCAUAACUAGAGUGCUGUAGGGGAGACUGGAAUUCCUGGUGUAGCGGUGAAAUGCGCAGAUAUCAGGAGGAACACCGAUGGCGAAGGCAGGUGCCUGGGCAGUUACUGACGCUGAGGAGCGAAAGCAUGGGUAGCGAACAGGA
rnacentral:rRNA from 1 species